rnacentral:rRNA from 1 species
UGCAUGGGGUGCAAGCGUUGCUCGGAAUUAUUGGGCGUAAAGCGCGCGUAGGCGGUUACUUAAGUCGGAUGUGAAAGCCCUCGGCUUAACUGAGGAAGUGCACCCGAAACUGAGUAGCUAGAGUACUAAAGAGGGUCGCGGAAUUCCCGGUGUAGAGGUGAAAUUCGUAGAUAUCGGGAGGAACACCGGUGGCGAAGGCGGCGACCUGGGUAGAGACUGACGCUGAGGCGCGAAAGCGUGGGGAGCAAACAGG